rnacentral:tRNA from 1 species
GCAUCGGUGGUUCAGUGGUAGAAUGCUCGCCUGCCACGCGGGAGGCCCGGGUUUGAUUCCCGGCCCAUGCA